CGUACAAGCAGUGGGAGCACGCUUAGGCGUGUGACUGCGUACCUUUUGUAUAAUGGGUCAGCGACUUAUAUUCUGUAGCAAGGUUAACCGAAUAGGGGAGCCGAAGGGAAACCGAGUCUUAACUGGGCGUUAAGUUGCAGGGUAUAGACCCGAAACCCGGUGAUCUAGCCAUGGGCAGGUUGAAGGUUGGGUAACACUAACUGGAGGACCGAACCGACUAAUGUUGAAAAAUUAGCGGAUGACUUGUGGCUGGGGGUGAAAGGCCAAUCAAACCGGGAGAUAGCUGGUUCUCCCCGAAAGCUAUUUAGGUAGCGCCUCGUGAAUUCAUCUCCGGGGGUAGAGCACUGUUUCGGCAAGGGGGUCAUCCCGACUUACCAACCCGAUGCAAACUGCGAAUACCGGAGAAUGUUAUCACGGGAGACACACGGCGGGUGCUAACGUCCGUCGUGAAGAGGGAAACAACCCAGACCGCCAGCUAAGGUCCCAAAGUCAUGGUUAAGUGGGAAACGAUGUGGGAAGGCCCAGACAGCCAGGAUGUUGGCUUAGAAGCAGCCAUCAUUUAAAGAAAGCGUAAUAGCUCACUGGUCGAGUCGGCCUGCGCGGAAGAUGUAACGGGGCUAAACCAUGCACCGAAGCUGCGGCAGCGACGCUGAUGCGUUGUUGGGUAGGGGAGCGUUCUGUAAGCCUGUGAAGGUGUGCUGUGAGGCAUGCUGGAGGUAUCAGAAGUGCGAAUGCUGACAUAAGUAACGAUAAAGCGGGUGAAAAGCCCGCUCGCCGGAAGACCAAGGGUUCCUGUCCAACGUUAAUCGGGGCAGGGUGAGUCGACCCCUAAGGCGAGGCCGAAAGGCGUAGUCGAUGGGAAACAGGUUAAUAUUCCUGUACUUGGUGUUACUGCGAAGGGGGGACGGAGAAGGCUAUGUUGGCCGGGCGACGGUUGUCCCGGUUUAAGCGUGUAGGCUGGUUUUCCAGGCAAAUCCGGAAAACUAAGGCUGAGGCGUGAUGACGAGGCACUACGGUGCUGAAGCAACAAAUGCCCUGCUUCCAGGAAAAGCCUCUAAGCAUCAGGUAACAUCAAAUCGUACCCCAAACCGACACAGGUGGUCAGGUAGAGAAUACCAAGGCGCUUGAGAGAACUCGGGUGAAGGAACUAGGCAAAAUGGUGCCGUAACUUCGGGAGAAGGCACGCUGAUAUGUAGGUGAAGUCCCUCGCGGAUGGAGCUGAAAUCAGUCGAAGAUACCAGCUGGCUGCAACUGUUUAUUAAAAACACAGCACUGUGCAAACACGAAAGUGGACGUAUACGGUGUGACGCCUGCCCGGUGCCGGAAGGUUAAUUGAUGGGGUCAGCGCAAGCGAAGCUCUUGAUCGAAGCCCCGGUAAACGGCGGCCGUAACUAUAACGGUCCUAAGGUAGCGAAAUUCCUUGUCGGGUAAGUUCCGACCUGCACGAAUGGCGUAAUGAUGGCCAGGCUGUCUCCACCCGAGACUCAGUGAAAUUGAACUCGCUGUGAAGAUGCAGUGUACCCGCGGCAAGACGGAAAGACCCCGUGAACCUUUACUAUAGCUUGACACUGAACAUUGAGCCUUGAUGUGUAGGAUAGGUGGGAGGCUUUGAAGUGUGGACGCCAGUCUGCAUGGAGCCGACCUUGAAAUACCACCCUUUAAUGUUUGAUGUUCUAACGUUGACCCGUAAUCCGGGUUGCGGACAGUGUCUGGUGGGUAGUUUGACUGGGGCGGUCUCCUCCUAAAGAGUAACGGAGGAGCACGAAGGUUGGCUAAUCCUGGUCGGACAUCAGGAGGUUAGUGCAAUGGCAUAAGCCAGCUUGACUGCGAGCGUGACGGCGCGAGCAGGUGCGAAAGCAGGUCAUAGUGAUCCGGUGGUUCUGAAUGGAAGGGCCAUCGCUCAACGGAUAAAAGGUACUCCGGGGAUAACAGGCUGAUACCGCCCAAGAGUUCAUAUCGACGGCGGUGUUUGGCACCUCGAUGUCGGCUCAUCACAUCCUGGGGCUGAAGUAGGUCCCAAGGGUAUGGCUGUUCGCCAUUUAAAGUGGUACGCGAGCUGGGUUUAGAACGUCGUGAGACAGUUCGGUCCCUAUCUGCCGUGGGCGCUGGAGAACUGAGGGGGGCUGCUCCUAGUACGAGAGGACCGGAGUGGACGCAUCACUGGUGUUCGGGUUGUCAUGCCAAUGGCACUGCCCGGUAGCUAAAUGCGGAAGAGAUAAGUGCUGAAAGCAUCUAAGCACGAAACUUGCCCCGAGAUGAGUUCUCCCUGACUCCUUGAGAGUCCUGAAGGAACGUUGAAG
rnacentral:rRNA from 1 species